UAGGGAAUCUUCGGCAAUGGGGGGAACCCUGACCGAGCAACGCCGCGUGAGUGAAGAAGGUUUUCGGAUCGUAAAGCUCUGUUGUUAAGGAAGAACGAGUGUGAGAAUGGAAAGUUCAUACUGUGACGGUACUUAACCAGAAAGGGACGGCUAACUACGUGCCAGCAGCCGCGGUAAUACGUAGGUCCCGAGCGUUGUCCGGAUUUAUUGGGAGUAAAGCGAGCGCAGGCGGUUAGAUAAGUCUGAUGUGAAAGCCCCCGGCUCAACCGGGGAGGGUCAUUGGAAACUGGUUGACUUGAGUGCAGAAGAGGAGAGUGGAAUUCCAUGUGUAGCGGUGAAAUGCGUAGAUAUAUGGAGGAACACCAGUGGCGAAGGCGACUCUCUGGUCUGUAACUGACGCUGAGGCUCGAAAGCGUGGGUAGCAAACAGG
rnacentral:rRNA from 1 species